rnacentral:misc_RNA from 1 species
CGCGUUCCGAACUAUUGUUCCGCUGGGGCUGUGGGGGUGGCAGUAGUCCGUCUCUGUUACUUCGCUGGAGGGGGCGGGCGAUGGCUUUCCUUGCAGCUCUAUGCUACCAACUGGCCGCUCGUCUUAGUGGUCAAAUGGCUUACGGUGGGGUGCCUAGCCUGUCUAACACCCGUCAGGUGUGCUCGUCAGUGGUCAUAUCGUUGUCCUGCUCUCUUGUGUGUACAAUUGUCGCAUGCGUAGACAUGCCGAGAGCGUUAGGACUGUAUGGCUGCCGAAUGACCAGUCCAUACCGGGGCGACAGGGCAGUGCACAGCAAUGUGCGCGAGGCGUAAGAUGCAGGGUAUGUAAACUCCUACAGGGUUUACUGCCUACGCCCCAUCAUGAUUAUUGUUUUUACACGGUGUCGAUGAUGGGUAUGUGCUUAAUACUGUACAUGCCCUAGACAAAAGUUUUGUGCCAUUUCGGUGGUGCAGGACAGGGUUCACGCCUUGUUGGUUGGCAACAGCCCAAGUUCUUGUGAGCCUAAUAAGAUCGGCGCCGCUCUUCGGGGCAUGGUCGUCGGUCGCUUGU